CAUCUUACUGUUUCUGCAACCAAAGAAUAAUAUGGAGGAUCCCAACUCUGCUCCAGCUUCUUUCAGGGCUAACCUUUCCUGAAAAAGUAUAAAAAUACAGAUGGUUGGCUUAGAUAUUCAACACAUGAAGCAUGACAAAUAGAUGAGUGAAGUCUGCAAACUGAACCUGCAAAAAACCCCUGAAAGGAGCCAAACCAGUCCCAGGGCCAAUCAUAAUGAUGGGGACUUUGGUGUCCUCAGGAAGUUUAAAGUUUGAUUGCCGAACAAAAAUGGGUGCCCAACUGCAUUCAUG
rnacentral:lncRNA from 1 species